UUAGUUCCUCUGGGCCACUGAAGCCCUAC
rnacentral:sRNA from 1 species